UACAGAGGUGGCAAGCGUUGUUCGGAAUUACUGGGCGUAAAGGGCGCGUAGGCGGCCUUCUAAGUCAGACGUGAAAUCCCCCGGCUUAACCUGGGAACUGCGUCUGAUACUGGAGGGCUUGAGUGCGGGAGAGGGAUGUGGAAUUCCAGGUGUAGCGGUGAAAUGCGUAGAUAUCUGGAGGAACACCGGUGGCGAAGGCGGCAUCCUGGACCGCCACUGGACGCUGAGACACGAAAGCGUGGGUAGCAAACGAGG
rnacentral:rRNA from 1 species